GAUGAACGCUGGCGGCGUGCCUAAUACAUGCAAGUCGAGCGAACGGACGAGAAGCUUGCUUCUCUGAUGUUAGCGGCGGACGGGUGAGUAACACGUGGAUAACCUACCUAUAAGACUGGGAUAACUUCGGGAAACCGGAGCUAAUACCGGAUAAUAUUUUGAACCGCAUGGUUCAAAAGUGAAAGACGGUCUUGCUGUCACUUAUAGAUGGAUCCGCGCUGCAUUAGCUAGUUGGUAAGGUAACGGCUUACCAAGGCAACGAUGCAUAGCCGACCUGAGAGGGUGAUCGGCCACACUGGAACUGAGACACGGUCCAGACUCCUACGGGAGGCAGCAGUAGGGAAUCUUCCGCAAUGGGCGAAAGCCUGACGGAGCAACGCCGCGUGAGUGAUGAAGGUCUUCGGAUCGUAAAACUCUGUUAUUAGGGAAGAACAUAUGUGUAAGUAACUGUGCACAUCUUGACGGUACCUAAUCAGAAAGCCACGGCUAACUACGUGCCAGCAGCCGCGGUAAUACGUAGGUGGCAAGCGUUAUCCGGAAUUAUUGGGCGUAAAGCGCGCGUAGGCGGUUUUUUAAGUCUGAUGUGAAAGCCCACAGCUCAACCGUGGAGGGUCAUUGGAAACUGGAAAACUUGAGUGCAGAAGAGGAAAGUGGAAUUCCAUGUGUAGCGGUGAAAUGCGCAGAGAUAUGGAGGAACACCAGUGGCGAAGGCGACUUUCUGGUCUGUAACUGACGCUGAUGUGCGAAAGCGUGGGGAUCAAACAGGAUUAGAUACCCUGGUAGUCCACGCCGUAAACGAUGAGUGCUAAGUGUUAGGGGGUUUCCGCCCCUUAGUGCUGCAGCUAACGCAUUAAGCACUCCGCCUGGGGAGUACGACCGCAAGGUUGAAACUCAAAGGAAUUGACGGGGACCCGCACAAGCGGUGGAGCAUGUGGUUUAAUUCGAAGCAACGCGAAGAACCUUACCAAAUCUUGACAUCCUUUGACAACUCUAGAGAUAGAGCUUUCCCCUUCGGGGGACAAAGUGACAGGUGGUGCAUGGUUGUCGUCAGCUCGUGUCGUGAGAUGUUGGGUUAAGUCCCGCAACGAGCGCAACCCUUAAGCUUAGUUGCCAUCAUUAAGUUGGGCACUCUAAGUUGACUGCCGGUGACAAACCGGAGGAAGGUGGGGAUGACGUCAAAUCAUCAUGCCCCUUAUGAUUUGGGCUACACACGUGCUACAAUGGACAAUACAAAGGGCAGCGAAACCGCGAGGUCAAGCAAAUCCCAUAAAGUUGUUCUCAGUUCGGAUUGUAGUCUGCAACUCGACUACAUGAAGCUGGAAUCGCUAGUAAUCGUAGAUCAGCAUGCUACGGUGAAUACGUUCCCGGGUCU
rnacentral:rRNA from 1 species